CUCCUGGGCUGGGCCCGCUCACCUGGCUCACAAGUCCUCACUUGUGAAAACAGAAAUCAGUAGAAGGGAAGUUCUUCAGAGAGAAAGGGAUUGUGGAGAAGCUAGCGGUACUUGCGCAGCCCUGGGAAGGCCCCAGCACAGCAGAGCCCUCUUACCUGGGCUGCACCUGAUUAAGCAUUCCCUGCCCUCCGCAGCAGUUCCAGUACAUAGAAGUCCCAGGCAACCACUACGUGCACCUGAACCAACCUCAGAACGUGGCUGACAUCAUCAGUGCCUUUCUGCAGAGCAAGGAGAUGAUCCCACACUAGCUGUAGCCUGGACCUCGGGCUUUGGAGGCCUCGUGCCCACCACUCACCACCUGGAUUCCUAGUUCUCAGGCCCUCCAGCCAGGAGAUCAGCAAUAGGGUACAUGACUGUGAUAGCACAUUCAUAUAAUGGAAUACUUUGUAGUCAUUACAAAUGCUGUUAAAGGUUAUAUAUUUUGUUUUCUUCUGCCCACAUGAGGCACCAGUUGAGCCAUAGAGAGGAGAGUAGUGGAGAUGGCUCAUCCAUCUUCAAGGAGAGUAUUUUGGGAGAACCUGCCUCUCAUUGCAUCAGUUUCUAUUUAGAGGAGACAAGAGCAGAGUGAAUUUUUUUCUACCCUGAUUGAUGUCUGCCCUCAAAUGAAAAAAUGGAAACCGCAUGUUUAUGGGAAUUUGCCAGCUUGGGUAGAGAUGGACUGGUAAACAGUCUUCCAGCUUCUCCAGGGCACAGAUGAAAAUAGAACUAAAGGCUACCCCUGUUUCUGUCUCGCUUUGUCAGCUUCAGACCUUGAGCGGGUCACGUACCUGGAGUUGUGGUGAGCCUGAAUGAGAGGUUCCACCAAUGACACACAGGAGACUCUGCCUCUCCUGGAGACCUUGUGGUUCUAGCAGGAGAAGGAAGCCUUCAGGCUGGGGAUUUGGCAAACUUUUUCCUCAAAAGGCCAGGUGUUGCCGAUAAGGUCCCAAGAUAAGCAUGUGAGAUGAAAUAAUGAAAGCUGAAAUGUCAAGACUACUCAUUACUUACAUUUGUUUUUUAUAAUCUAGGACUUAGGGUACGAUAGGUAAAGAACCCAUGUUUUUCCAAAGCACUGUUUUCAAUUUUUUAACGGAGAUAAAUGAACUGUCAGCCCAUCUGACACUCACUACAUUUGCUAAGUGCUUAGUAACACAUGAAAAUGAUGAGAAGAAUGCCAGAGCUGAGCAAGCGGAAUCCACAGAGAUGAGAUUGAGUUCCUUGACGCCUGAAGUGUGGUCCGUGGAGAGACGUCACCACAUCACCCAGGAGCUUGUCUGUACCCAAACCUGAGGAAUCAGUCUGCAUUUUAUCAAGACUCCAAGGAUUUGUAUGCACAUUAGCAUUUGAGAAGCACUGGUUCCUAAUUAAUAAUGUUCUAAAUUAGAGCCUAUAUCUGGACUUAUUAGAAACAUUAGUAUUGUAAAACAUUUAUUCGUAGACUACUUUAAUAAAGACCCCAGAUCUAUUACCAUUUUGGGGCCUCAGUGUUUAUAUCCAUCAAAUGGGGACACAUAACUCCCUUUCCUGAUUUGCAAAGGAAAUGAA